AUGGCCAGAUUUAAUUUAGGUGAUGGUAAAAGUGUGCUUUUCUGGACUGCUAUUUGGAAUACUACUGCUUGUUUGUUCAGUUUCGACAUCUUUUUAAUUACCUUUGCAAAGGAUGUUAAUCUGAAUGUGGAAACAAUGCUUCGUAAUGAUUUUUUGAGGAUCUUUUUCACUUGCCACUCACCACUAAAGCACAUCAAGAAUUCUUGCAAAUCGAGGACUUGUGUUCAAAUCUCACUUCUUAUGAUCAUAGGAAUUCAAAUGACACCUAGAGCUACAUCCGAGGUAAUGCUAAAUUUUCAAUUGUCAAGGGUUAUAAAAUGA
rnacentral:rRNA from 1 species